rnacentral:rRNA from 1 species
UUUUGACCUCGGAUCAGGUAGGGAUACCCGCUGAACUUAAGCAUAUCAAA